UACAGAGGGUGCGAGCGUUAAUCGGAAUUACUGGGCGUAAAGCGUGCGUAGACGGUUAUUUAAGUCGGGUGUGAAAGCCCCGGGCUCAACCUGGGAAUUGCAUUCGAGACUGAAUAGCUAGGGUACGGUAGAGGGAAGUGGAAUUUCCGGUGUAGCGGUGAAAUGCGUAGAUAUCGGAAGGAACAUCAGUGGCGAAAGCGACUUCCUGGACCAGUACCGACGUUCAGGCACGAAAGCGUGGGGAGCAAACAGGA
rnacentral:rRNA from 2 species